AGAUUCAUCGUCAGCUCAUUUUGUAUAUGUAUGANGUUAUGAUGCGAGUUACUCUNUGUAGUAUUGCUUGCACGUACUUGUACAUUUAUUGGCAAGAUGUUGUCGGCGUGCACUUCUCCCCUAGUAGAACGUCGCGACCCGCUGGAUGUUGGUCUACGACCCGAGUGGUAGACUUUAAUAUUUUNAUAAUAUUGAAGACCCUUGACGUUNNCUGACCGGCUGUCCGGCGGUACUCUUACGGUAUUUAGCCGCAAUUUUUUGNNCGUUCAUGUCCAUCGCAAGCAAGGCCAAUUUCUGAUAGUNGCGGACCUAGUGCCGUCGUUGGAAUUGACCAGCUGUUGGUUGUAUGGAAUUUUAGAACUGGCU
rnacentral:rRNA from 1 species